ACUCAAAGGAAUUGACGGGGACUUGCACAAGUAGUGGAUUAUGCGGUUUAAUUCGAUGAUAAACGAAAAACCUUACCAAGGUUAGAAAUCUACGUGAAGCAUUUUGGAAACAAGAUGCGCCCGCAAGGGCUCGUAGACAGGUGAUGCAUGGCCGUCGUCAGUUCGUGAUUUGAAUUGUUCCCUUAAGUGGGGUAACGAACGCAACCCUCGUUGCCAGUUACAAGUGUCUGGCGAGACUGCCCCCGUUUGUGGGCAUAAGCCGAAUUAACUUGAAAUCGGCUUGUGAACAGAAACGGGGGAGGAAGGCGAGGAUGACGCCAGGUCAGCAUGUCCCUCUGAUACCUUGGGCCACACGCAUAAUACAAUCGCCGCUACAACGGGUCGCGACGCCGCAAGGCUGAGCUAAUCCUUAUAAAAGCGGCGCCAGUUCGGAUUGGGGGCUGCAACUCGACCCCAUGAAGCCGGAAUUACUAGUAAUCGCGGGUCAGCUAUACCGCGGUGAAUACGUUCUCAAGUCUUGUACACACCGCCCGU
rnacentral:rRNA from 1 species